CAGAGCCCACACACUCACUGCGGGCACCAGAGCCCACACACUCACUGCACCAGUGCAGGCACCAGAGCCCACACACUCACUGCAGGCACCAGUGCAAUCACUGCAGUGCACCAGAGCUCACACACUCACUGCACCAGUGCACACACUCACUGCAGUGCACCACAGCUGCAGACACUCACUGCACCAGUGCAGACACUCA